rnacentral:rRNA from 1 species
AGUGAACGCUGGCGGUAGGCCUAACACAUGCAAGUCGAACGGCAGCACAGUAAGAGCUUGCUCUUACGGGUGGCGAGUGGCGGACGGGUGAGGAAUACAUCGGAAUCUACUUUUUCGUGGGGGAUAACGUAGGGAAACUUACGCUAAUACCGCAUACGACCUACGGGUGAAAGCAGGGGAUCUUCGGACCUUGCGCGAUUGAAUGAGCCGAUGUCGGAUUAGCUAGUUGGCGGGGUAAAGGCACACCAAGGCGACGAUCCGUAGCUGGUCUGAGAGGGUGAUCAGCCACACUGGAACUGAGACACGGUCCAGACUCCUACGGGAGGCAGCAGUGGGGAAUAUUGGACAAUGGGCGCAAGCCUGAUCCAGCCAUACCGCGUGAGUGAAGAAGGCCUUCGGGUUGUAAAGCCCUUUUGUUGGGAAAGAAAAGCAGCAGGUUAAUACCCCGCUGUUCUGACGGUACCCAAAGAAUAAGCACCGGCUAACUUCGUG